UACUGAAAGCCCGGGGUCCUGUUCUUACAGAUGUCCAAGGAGCUGUGCCAGACUGUGGAUAUAUCUGCGUCCCAUUUUCCUCAUUCUCAGACUCAGUGCAAGACAGCUGAAGAAAUGUCAUGCCUCUGAAAUACACUGCCAUUGCUGUAACAGAUCUGAGAAUCUCCCUGACACCAAAGAAGGAAGAUAUGGACUUCUUGCAAACUUUGUCUGUGCUCAUGAGAAAAAAGCAGAACCCUUGAAAGGUCUCAGAGACCUCUAGAGAAGAGGAAGAGGACAGCAGCUCUUGGAAACUGGAAAUAUUAGUAGUCUUUGAAAUGGUUCCCAAAGAGUACCUGAAGAACCAACAUUACAUGGGGUGAGAUGAAUUAUAGUUAUACGAAGUGUAAACUGAAGCAUAGAAACUUUAAGACGGGAUUUCUGGGGGGAGAAGCCUGGCCUCUGGAAUGCCACUUUCCUGCUUUACCACCUAGACUCCAGCCAGAACAACAUUGCA